GAGCUGAGCUGAGCUGAGCUGAGCUGGGGAGCUCAGACCUGGCAACCUCCCAGGCUAUGGCCUGAUAGAAAGGCCAAAGCAGACAGAGAUUGUCGGACGACAGUAAAUUCAGGAGAAUAGUGUGGCAAGAUAUUCCGAAGCUGAGGAUGCAUUUCUGAACUAACAGUUGUGAAAACACUCAAGUACAUUAAGAUGCAUCUGUAAGACUGUCUGAUCCUGCCAGCUCCUCCACGUAUGUAGACCAGUGUCCCCAUUGAAAGCUCCCUUGCCUUCAUUAGGGUUCUGCCUGGGUAAAAGGCUCUGCCCACACAAAGCAGCUUACAGGAUCAGAGCGACACUUCAGAAUGCUGCAACUUUGGGGAGAGUAUUCUGUACCUCUAAAAUCUCGUGUCUGACUCUUCAACCCGAAAACCUCUCCAGGGAGAAGAGGGGAGAAGACAACAAAACUUUGAUUCCUCCAUUGAGAAAGUCCAUAUAGCCAAAGCCAGAUUUCCACUUCCAGAAAGUCACCUGCCUACAUCAGUCCACUUUCUUUUCAAAGAAAAGGAGAAGACAGUCUCUCCUAUAGUUCAAAUAACUCAUCAUAUCACUUCACCUUGGGGUUAUCAUUUUUUAAAAAUUUAAAAAGAACUUUCCCAAAUUAUACUGCAAUCCAACAAAUCACUCUAGCACAUGCUUAAUUUGAACAGGUGAGUCGUCCUAUUGGCUUUAAUGGGACUGGCUACUCACCUGCUUAACAUUAAGCAGGUACUUAGUUGCUUUGCUGCAUCAAGGUCCUUGUUGGGUUGGCCCAUCUUUAUUUAAUAUAAAUUCCUAAUAUGCAUAACUCGUAUUUAGUGUAAUGCAACUGCGUGGAAUAAUAUUGCCAGAGAUGCUCUGCGCUUACUUCUAUCAGAUCAAUGAAAUGCCUGCAUCUCAUAAGUGUUUGCAUCUGUAUUACAAAUCUAAACAAAAUGUUUGUUGCUGUGGAAGGAAGCUUUUCAUUUACUGCUUCCCCUUGCUAAUUUCUUCUACAAGAACUUCUACAAGAACUCUCCAUUCUCCUGCAUGACAACCGCAAAAUACUUUAUAUAGUAUAUUAUGUACUUUCAAUAACAGUCCUCUCGCACUGUCACUGAGAAUCAGCGUGGCAGUUUAUUAGCCUCACAAUCUGAGGAGAGGGGCUAAUCCAACUUUGCCCCUGCCCAGACUGUGUUGAACUCAGUACAGACAGAGGCCAGAAUCUGAGCCAUAAACUCCAGGUGCUGCUGGAUAAGAUACUGUCUCAGAAAAUAAUCAGAAGUCUGAUUCACAAGGAAAUGUCAAGUUUUCACCAAUGCACAGCUGUUGAUGUUGAUUAGCCCUGAUAGAAUGCUAGAUGUAUUUGAUAUUUAUACAGUUUGAUUCAGUUCUCUGACCUGAGGUUCUCAAACACUUAUUUAAUAAAGACAGAACUCUGUUA